GGCUCAGACCACAGCAAUAAUAAGAAAGAUGUCCCCUGAUGAGGGGGGGGGGUGGUGGUGGGUAUCAGCAGUGGAACCAGUGGACAAAGACAUUAGCAGCUAACCUUCAAAGAUUCCAAAAGCUUCAGCAGAAUUGGCCUAAACAGCAGGGGAACAAAAUGGCAAAUGCCUUUCAGAGGAGAGAUUGAGGACUGCGACUGCAAGAACUAAGUGAGGUGAGCAUCGAUCAAGGUUCACAUUGUGGCUCAGUGAUUUUCAGUUGAUGAAAAGAAGACUUAACACUAGACCUUAUUCCCCUGGAAGAUCCUUUGCAAAGCCCUUAGAUGAGGACUGUGGAGUUGAUGAAGGAGCACAAGCAAUACAACUGUGAUGGAGGUAAUGGUGCCAUAGGUUGGAGGAAAUAAAUCUACUGAAGUGUCUAUCACCUAAGGAUGAGUGCAUGGGGAAGAGCUGAGCAUCUAGGUGCUUACCAGUGGACAUGGGAUAAGAGGCUUCUAAGGACAAUGGAUGCAGAGGAAACUGAGGAUUCCUGGAGCAAAGACCGCAACAUACAUGACAAUGUGAAAAACAGCUAAACAGGAAGAAGCAAGAGCAUCAAACCACAUUUGGCUGAAGAGUGCAGAGGAGUGGAUCAGCUACCUGGAUCAGGCCAUUGAUAACAAAGUUGUCCACCAAAGAGGGGGGUGGUGGUGGACAAGAAAAACCUGAAUUUUGCUUUUUUUCCUUUUUUUUUCUCCUUUCUUUCUUCACUGUGGGUGGGAAGUGAAUUCCAAUUCAAACAGAAGCCUGGGCUAGACUAGCAAAAACAAAGAUGUCCUCCAAAGAGUGGGAAUGGUGGUGUGAAUUGUAGCAUGGCUGCACACAAGACAUUAGCCCCCAGGUGGCUAGCUAGCCACUUUAGCUAGCCUCUGCUACACUAAUCUCCAUCCUUCAGCCCCCCCCCCCCCACCAGAUUGGAGGAGGACAAGCUGAGUACUGCCGUGGUAUCAGAGGGUGGCUGGCUAUGGCAGGUGAUGAAGAACAGGUUCUGGCAGAAGACCUGUUGAAGGAGAUGAGAGAAUGAAGAACCAUUGCCAGAAUCAUGUCCAAGAGGCACCACAGGAUUGUACAGGAGCCCUCCCAGUCACUGUUGAGCAUGUCACGGAAAGCAGGUUUGAUGACCAAGAAUGGAAGCUUUUGGUGUACCAGCGACAAUGGAUGAGAAGCUUAAUUGGACGCAGAAGACCGAGACAAGCUUGUAGUAAAGGUUUGUUCCUCAGAGGUCAGUGCUAAUUUUUCUGUCCAUUAGUUCAAGGAUGUAAAUGGCAGCUAGGAUGGACACUGUGCACCCUGUAACUGUGCCACCCCCAGCCUCUUGUUUUGUAGUACAGUGGAUAUAAUGGAUAUGUCCAGGUCUUCAAGCACCCAUCUCCCCUCUGUAACUGACUGUGUAGUGGUGGUUAUGCCAUUCGUGAAUGUUCAUGUUGGUGGUUGCGGCUUUUUGGAUUUCGUUCUAGUUCCUCUGCUUGGUCUUUCUGCAGAGCCCACAAGGAUGCAGAAAGCAGCUGUGAUGGACACCAUGCACCUCGUAAUCGUGUCCACCCCCAGCCUCUGGUAAAACAGUCACACACUUGUAACCCUCAUCCUGAACUUAUCAAAGUAGUUCUGUAGGUUAAAUAAUAAUAAUAAUAAUAAUAAUAAUAAUAAUAAUAAUAAUAAACAAAUAAUUAAUUAAUUAAAAAUAUUAAACUCUAAACCUAGCCCUAAUAAAAUUAAAAUUAAAAAUGACUUUUUAAAAAAAUAAAAAUAAAUAGAAUCAAUAGAAACAUAAAAUAAUAAUAAUAAUAAUUAAAAAGAAUAAAUAAAAUAAGAAAAAACAAUUAAAAUAAUUUUUUUAAAAAGGUUCAGGAUGAGGGUUUCAGUGUGUGACUGUUUUACCAGAGGCUGGGGGUGGACACGAUUACGAGGUGCAUGGUGUCCAUCACAGCUGCUUUCUGCAUCCUUGUGGGCUCUGCAGAAAGACCAAGCAGAGGAACUGGAACGAAAUCCAAAGUGCCGCAACCACCAACAUGAACCUUCACGAAUGGCAUAACCACCACUACACAGUCAGUUACAGAGGGGAGAUGGGUGCUUGAAGACCUGGACAUAUCCAUUACCUGAGCAAGAGUGACCUUCAAGCCCAGAAUUGAGGAUACUAGUACUGAUGAAAGGCAACGGCAAGGAGCAUGACGGCAUUCUGCUCAAAGUGGGUGGAGAGUAGAUUCCAAUUCUCACAGAGAAGCCGGUCAGAUGCCUGGGGAAGUGGUGUGGCUGCUCACUCUGACACAGUGAGUGUGAAGAGAACAACAGACCGUGCACCUGGCCGAGUGCAGAGGGUGGAGAAAGGUGGUGUGCCUGUGUAACCUAAGGCAUGGUGCUGGCAGCACACGUUCCUCCUCAAGGUCAUCUAACCCCUUCCAGUGUACAAAUUGAGGUGAGGUGCUGACAUUCCUACUUCAACGAUGGAUCGGAGCUUCCCAAAGCUUCAGGACAAGCUACCCUUCAGAGACAACAUUGAGGACUGGGACUGCAUGGACAAACAGUCCAGGUCAGCAGUGAUCAAGUUUCACACUGGCUUAAUGUGAUUGGUAGUGGAUGAAGAGGAGUCUCUCCUUUUUCCACUGGAACAUCACAGCUCUCAUGGUAGGAUUGGUAAGAGUGAAGGAGCACAAAGGAACACUUAUGUUGAAGCUGAUUGUGCCAUGGGAAGAGAGGUUUGAGUAAGCCGAUGAAAACAACGGGAGUACUGCUGAUGAACUGCCAAUCACUUAAGGAUGGGUGUAUGGGGAACAGCUGGACAGCUCAGUGCUUAACAAUGAAAGUGGGAUAAGAACUUUCUAAAGACAGUUGAUACAGGAAAAAAAACUGUAGUAAAGAGGGCAAUAUACAUGACGAUGUGCAAAACUGCUAAACAGGAGGAAGUAAGAGGACCAUACUGCAGAGUGUGGAGCACUGGAUUAGGUACUUGGCUCAGACCACAGCAAUAAUAAGAAAGAUGUCCCCUGAUGAGGGGGGGGUGGUGGUGGGCAAGAAAAACAAAGGACAAGAUCAUGUGCAACACAGCUGAACAGGAGGAAGAGAGCAUCACACUGGCUUUAGCUGAAGAGUGCAUAACAGUGGAUUAACUACUUGGCUCAGGCCAGACUUGCAAUAACAAAGAUGUCCCCCAAAGAGGGGGGGUGGUGGUGGGCAAGAAUAAAACCAAAACAUGCCAACAAGUAUUGCUGAAUGGAUUCAAAUUCUUCAAAAAGCCAGUCGGAAACAGUGGAAGGGCAUUGGAUCAGCCAUACAGUUCAUUCUGGGCCUGAUAAACCCAGUCUGUGCAUCCUUCAGAAAGUAUGUGUGAGCACCAGAACAACUACUGAUGAAAGGACCUUAUCUGAGGAUAAAACCAGAGGCAGUGGAGUCAUUCUGGUGUGCACAUUUGAAGGGUGAAUGUAAUUUUUAUUAGGAGGUGAGGGCCGUUUUUUCACAUUGUUUACGAACCCCCUCCUCUCUGCUAGUUUGACAAAAAUAAAGCUUUCAUUUUUCAGUUGAUUUUACUGCAGGAAUGAAAAACUCCUGCAUCACCUGGAUCACAGCAUUAUUUCAGAAAUGAUCUGUAAAUGUAUGUCUACUAAACAUCAAAUGGAGCAAAGACAACAUUUUCUGGAAAUAACAAAGGUAAAUG